rnacentral:rRNA from 1 species
GAAUUUUAUAAAAAAUAUUUUUAAUUAGUUUAAAGUAAAUAUUUAAUAUUUAAUUGGGAGGAUUAUUAAAUUUAUAAAACUUUAAUAUAUAAAAAAAUAGAUUAAUGAAUUUAAUAAUAAUAGAUUGGUUUAAAUAUGUAAGGGGAAUAAAUUACCUUAGGGAUAACAGCGUAAUAUUUUUAGAAAGAUCAUAUUUAUAAAAAUUAUUGC